rnacentral:rRNA from 1 species
UACACGAGCGGCGAACGGGUGAGUAACACGUGGGUGAUCUGCCCUGCACUUCGGGAUAAGCCUGGGAAACUGGGUCUAAUACCGGAUAUGACCUCCUAUCGCAUGGUGGGUGGUGGAAAGAUUUAUCGGUGCAGGAUGGGCCCGCGGCCUAUCAGCUUGUUGGUGGGGUAAUGGCCUACCAAGGCGACGACGGGUAGCCGACCUGAGAGGGUGACCGGCCACACUGGGACUGAGACACGGCCCAGACUCCUACGGGAGGCAGCAGUGGGGAAUAUUGCACAAUGGGCGAAAGCCUGAUGCAGCGACGCCGCGUGAGGGAUGACGGCCUUCGGGUUGUAAACCUCUUUCAGCAGGGACGAAGCGCAAGUGACGGUACCUGCAGAAGAAGCACCGGCUAACUACGUGCCAGCAGCCGCGGUAAUACGUAGGGUGCAAGCGUUGUCCGGAAUUACUGGGCGUAAAGAGUUCGUAGGCGGUUUGUCGCGUCGUUUGUGAAAACCAGCAGCUCAACUGCUGGCUUGCAGGCGAUACGGGCAGACUUGAGUACUGCAGGGGAGACUGGAAUUCCUGGUGUAGCGGUGAAAUGCGCAGAUAUCAGGAGGAACACCGGUGGCGAA